CGGAGAGCUGCAGCCUAAUGAAUGCUGAUUGCUCUGGCCUAGCGGGGUGGGGGCGGCAGGCAGCGGCCCUCGUCAGCAUCAUUCCGGGCCUGGCCGCCCUAAUGAAUGCUGCAGCCAACAAGCGGAUCCUCACACACUGCCGGCUAAUUAGCAGCUCGGCUUCCGAGGGCCCAGCAAAGGGAUCCAGGGAAGACGAUGUUAACUGGAGAUCAGUCGAGAUAGAAGAGUAGGAGAAAGUAAUGGCACCCAGCUCACCCAACAACUAAGCCUGCAAUGAUCUAACAAAGUAGCCAGACCACACACAGGUAAUAAGGAAAACAAAGGCCCCCACACACAUGUUGGAGCCACAGGCAAAAGAGGAAGGCAGGACCUGUAGAACGCCGUGGUCCAGGAGGGCUCUGAGGGCUAACCACAAGGGAGCCGGUUGUUAAAUAUUUACCAGCACAAAUCUUGGCAGAACCUCAUAUAAAAUGAACCAGGAUUAUACAAGACCACCAUAUUUCCAUUUUAGUAUUUUCCUGAGCAGCAUCUGGUCCUGCCAAAGUCCCAAUUUAGGAAGCAAAGCCAGAAGAAUAAGGAUAUAAAAGAAGAUAAAAGGUAAGGAGGCAUUAUGAUACUUGGAAUACCCAUAAUACAAAGUCCUAAGUGAAGAAUAAUUGUGAAAUAACUCAAAGCCAAUCCUCAAAGAAAACUACAUCUUGGCCGCAGGAUCAAUUGGAAGUCUUAGAAAAGAUGAAGCAAAUGUUUGUGUGCUUUAAAAAUUUUUUUUGAAAUCAUAAAAAGAAUGAGAAAAGAGAUGAGUGUUGGAGGAAAAUACUUAGAAAAGGAGGACUUUAGCCCAAGAGGCAUCAAAUCUCAUCUAAGCAACAGACUCCCUAAAACUUAGGGAGGACUUUAUUUUGACUUUAACAGUUUUGACAAGAUAAUAAAUUUUAGGCAUUUCAUGUGUUUUUAAUGACUUGGCAAACAGAUCAAAGAGAGCUAAUUCAAUAAUCAUUAGACUACAUGAAAGUCAUGAAAGAAAAAAAAUAAAGGGAGAGUGUGUACGUCAUAUUUCAAGAAAUCAAGAAUGAUGUCUGCUCAGUCACAGAAGGCAAAGUGAAAAAAAAUUAUCUCCUGAAAGAAACCGUCAAAUAAAAACUCCAAAAUAUAUCAGUCAAACUCCUUAUCUCCCAGAUCAAAUAAAAAAUAAUGCAAGCAGCCAGAAAGUAAUUAGAAACCAUAGUGAGGAUAAAGCAAGACUUAGCAGCUACCAAAAUAAAGGAGUAAACAUUGUAAUAUGCUAUUACAAAA